GGUUUUUAGAGUUAGUUAAAGAUUGGUUCUGCUCAGUGAAAUCUUAAAUAGCUGCGGUAAUUUGACUGUGCAAAGGUAGCAUAAUCAAUAGUUUUUUAAUUGAAAACUGGAAUGAAUGAAUUGACGGUUAAAUAUUGUUUUAUUAAUAGAAUGUUGAAGUUGACUUUUAAGUAAAAAGGCUUAAGAGAUUUCAAGGGACGAGAAGACCCUAUAGAACUUAAAUGGAUUUAUAGAUAAAUUAGAUAAAUUUUAGCUGGGGUGGUUGUGAGAAGAAUUAAACUUUUACGGAUAAAAGUCAAUGAUUGUUGAUAGAAUAAAUGAUUUUUUAGAAUAAAAGAUAAAGUUACCUUAGGGAUAACAGCAUAAUUUUUUUAGAGAGUUCUUAUUGAUAAAAGAGUUUGUGACCUCGAUGUUGAAUUAAGAUAAAAUUUUGGUGAAGAAGUUAAAUUUUUGAGUCUGUUCGACUUUUAAAAUCUUACA
rnacentral:rRNA from 1 species